UACAGAGGUCUCAAGCGUUGUUCGGAUUCAUUGGGCGUAAAGGGUGCGUAGGCGGCGCGGUAAGUCGGGUGUGAAAUCUCGGAGCUUAACUCCGAAACUGCAUUCGAUACUGUCGUGCUUGAGGACUGGAGAGGAGACUGGAAUUUACGGUGUAGCGGUGAAAUGCGUAGAUAUCAGGAGGAACACCAGUGGCGAAGGCGGUGCGCUGGGCCGGAACUGACGCUGAGGAGCGAAAGCGUGGGGAGCGAACAGG
rnacentral:rRNA from 1 species